rnacentral:rRNA from 1 species
GUGGGGAAUAUUGGACAAUGGGGGGAACCCUGAUCCAGCCAUGCCGCGUGUGUGAAGAAGGCCUUUUGGUUGUAAAGCACUUUAAGCGAAGAGGAGGCUACCGAGAUUAAUACUCUUGGAUAGUGGACGUUACUCGCAGAAUAAGCACCGGCUAACUCUGUGCCAGCAGCCGCGGUAAUACAGAGGGUGCAAGCGUUAAUCGGAUUUACUGGGCGUAAAGCGCGCGUAGGUGGCCAAUUAAGUCAAAUGUGAAAUCCCCGAGCUUAACUAGGGAAUUGCAUUCGAUACUGGUUGGCUAGAGUAUGGGAGAGGAUGGUAGAAUUCCAGGUGUAGCGGUGAAAUGCGUAGAGAUCUGGAGGAAUACCGAUGGCGAAGGCAGCCAUCUGGCCUAAUACUGACACUGAGGUGCGAAAGCAUGGGGAGCAAACAGGAUUAGAUACCCCUGUAGUCC